CAUGUCUUUAAGCUGAGGAGCGAGUGGAUCAGAGAGCAGCUGACCUCACAGAGCCAUGGUUCAGUGACUCAUUCAGACAUGUCCUUGAGUAGUUGUUCUGGAUUUCCUCGAUGGUAGCAAGGUGAACUCAUGAGGUGCUGGUCCAGAAAAGAACACGAGUGACUAUGCCCAUUGUCACUGCUCAGAAGUGUUCUGGAAUCUUGUUUCCCGCCCUGAAAUAAGUUGAUGGCAGUUAUGGCAUGGGCUGAUCUACCCAGUCAGCAAGGCCAGAUUGCAGAGAAACUCAGAGUCUAGGAAAAUGAAUGUCUAGGAACAUUCCUCAAAUAGUCCUACCAGAAGACACAAAGAUGAUGCAUCCGGAUGAAGAAUAUAUCACUGAGAUUAAUGGCCCUGGGUUGCAGCCAAAAGCAUCUCAGAGGGUAUGAUGCAUUUCCUGACUGUGGUCGGCUUUCCAUGGGUGAAACAGAAAAGUCUUCAAAUAUCCUCACCAACUGCUUUCCUAGAUUUUUCAGCCAGUUACUUGACCAUAUUAGGAAAAGAAAGGUGAGCUUGGGCUUCAGGACAUAGAAAACAACAUUAGUUAUGCUGGAAAGUAUCACCAAAGAAGUGCAGCUCAGACAAGCUGUAUUCUAUUUUGUUCUUUUGAACAUAAACACCUAUAAAGGGACCAAAAGAAAUCUAAAUGAUCAACGGGAGCAAUCCUGAAUAGGCAACAACAAUCAUUAUUGCCAAGUGAUUGUCUUAUCA
rnacentral:lncRNA from 1 species